rnacentral:rRNA from 1 species
CAGGAUGAACGCUGGCGGCGUGCCUAAUACAUGCAAGUCGUACGAGGGAAGUCCAGCUUGCUGGACGGAACGAGUGGCGAACGGGUGAGUAAUACGUAAGCAACCUGCCUGCAAGGACUGGGAUAACACCUGGAAACGGGCGCUAAUACCGGAUAGGUAACAAAGGGGCAUCCCUAUGUUAUUAAAGGUUAGAAACACAAGCAGAUGGGCUUACGGUGCAUUAGCUAGUUGGUGAGGUAACGGCCCACCAAGGCGAUGAUGCAUAGCCGGCCUGAGAGGGUGAACGGCCACAUUGGGACUGAGACACGGCCCAGACUCCUACGGGAGGCAGCAGUAGGGAAUUUUCGGCAAUGGACGAAAGUCUGACCGAGCAACGCCGCCGUGAGUGAAGAAGGUUUUCGGAUUGUAAAGCUCUGUUGUAAGGGAAGAACAGCACGGAAAGAAUCCGUGAAUGACGGUACCUUACCAGAAAGCCACGGCUAACUACGUGCCAGCCGCGGC